rnacentral:rRNA from 1 species
UACGGAGGGAGCUAGCGUUGUUCGGAAUUACUGGGCGUAAAGCGCGCGUAGGCGGCUUUGUAAGUUAGAGGUGAAAGCCCGGGGCUCAACUCCGGAACUGCCUUUAAGACUGCAUCGCUAGAAUCCGGGAGAGGUGAGUGGAAUUCCGAGUGUAGAGGUGAAAUUCGUAGAUAUUCGGAAGAACACCAGUGGCGAAGGCGGCUCACUGGACCGGCAUUGACGCUGAGGUGCGAAAGCGUGGGGAGCAAACAGG